ncrna:unclassified sequences c4-2 RNA
AACUGCGCCGUGUCGGGUAGCGGAAACGCCCUGGAAGCCUCGCUUUUAUGAGCUUAGACAACACGUAGCGCAGUUUC